rnacentral:rRNA from 1 species
UACAGAGGUCUCAAGCGUUGUUCGGAUUCAUUGGGCGUAAAGGGUGCGUAGGCGGUCUAUUAAGUCAGCGGUGAAAUACUCCAGCUUAACUGGAGGGGUGCCAUUGAUACUGAUGGACUUGAGUCAAGUCGAGGUAGGCGGAAUUGACGGUGUAGCGGUGAAAUGCUUAGAUAUCGUCAAGAACACCAAUAGUGAAAGACAGCUUACUGGGCUUAAAACUGACGCUGAGGGCACGAAAAGUGUGGGGGAUCAAAACAGG